UACGUAGGGUGCGAGUGUUAAUCGGAAUUACUGGGCGUAAAGCGUGCGCAGGCGGUCUGUUAAGACAGAUGUGAAAUCCCCGGGCUUAACCUGGGAACUGCAUUUGUGACUGGCAGGCUAGAGUAUGGCAGAGGGGGGUGGAAUUCCACGUGUAGCAGUGAAAUGCGUAGAGAUGUGGAGGAAUACCGAUGGCGAAGGCAGCCCCCUGGGCCAAUACUGACGCUCAUGCACGAAAGCGUGGGGAGCAAACAGG
rnacentral:rRNA from 1 species